rnacentral:lncRNA from 1 species
GGGACGGCAGUAGAACAUAGGAGUUGGAUGAGUGUCCCAAUAUAAUCCGAGAGAGAUAGGGAAAGGGUAAAGAGGUAAAUAAAAAAUUUUAAGAAAGAAAGAUUAGGACCUGCCCUGGUCGAGCAUUGCUCUCGGGGCGCCGGCUUAUUUGGAUAUUUAAGUGACCAGACUGGAGGUAAGGUCCCUGGUCGAGCAUUGCUCUCGGGGCGCCAGUCUUAUUGGAUAAGAGAGCCAAAAAGGCUAAGGCUGAGAGUUAAGUGACCGGACUGGAGGUAAGGUCCCUGGUCGAGUUUUGCUCUCUGGGCGCCAGUCCUGUUGGAAUGAGAGGUUUGAGAUGUUAGAGUUGAGGUUAGUUGAGACAUAAGUGUUGAAAUAAUCGAGAUUUUAGAGUUGGGAUUAGAGUUCUACUGAAGUACUCCGUCCCGUUGCAUGUGGAAUAAAUUUUGUUUAAGCAUGGCAUGACACAUAUGUUUUAACAUGACACGUAUGGUUCGCGUGAUUUAUUAAUUAUUUUAAAAUUAAAU